GAUCCAGCCAUGCCGCGUGUGUGAAGAAGGCCUUAUGGUUGUAAAGUACUUUAAGCGAGGAGGAGGCUCUUUUGGUUAAUACCCAAGAUGAGUGGACGUUACUCGCAGAAUAAGCACCGGCUAACUCUGUGCCAGCAGCCGCGGUAAUACAGAGGGUGCGAGCGUUAAUCGGAAUCACUGGGCGUAAAGGGUGCGUAGGCGGGUUUCUAAGUCAGAGGUGAAAGCCUGGAGCUCAACUCCAGAACUGCCUUUGAUACUGGAAGUCUUGAGUAUGGCAGAGGUGAGUGGAACUGCGAGUGUAGAGGUGAAAUUCGUAGAUAUUCGCAAGAACACCAGUGGCGAAGGCGGCUCACUGGGCCAUUACUGACGCUGAGGCACGAAAGCGUGGGGAGCAAACA
rnacentral:rRNA from 1 species